rnacentral:pre_miRNA from 1 species
UGCUGUUCGCAUCUUACCGGGCAGCAUUAGAUUGCAUUUGAGACCUCUAAUACUGUCAGGUAAAGAUGUCGUCCGG